ACGUACACUCCUACGGGAGGCAGCAGUGGGGAAUAUUGGACAAUGGGCGCAAGCCUGAUCCAGCCAUGCCGCGUGAGUGAUGAAGGCCCUAGGGUUGUAAAGCUCUUUCACCGGUGAAGAUAAUGACGGUAACCGGAGAAGAAGCCCCGGCUAACUUCGUGCCAGCAGCCGCGGUAAUACGAAGGGGGCUAGCGUUGUUCGGAUUUACUGGGCGUAAAGCGCACGUAGGCGGACUAUUAAGUCAGGGGUGAAAUCCCGGGGCUCAACCCCGGAACUGCCUUUGAUACUGGUAGUCUUGAGUGCGAGAGAGGUGAGUGGAAUUCCGAGUGUAGAGGUGAAAUUCGUAGAUAUUCGGAGGAACACCAGUGGCGAAGGCGGCUCACUGGCUCGAUACUGACGCUGAGGUGCGAAAGCGUGGGGAGCAAACAGGAUUAGAUACCCCAGUAGUCCC
rnacentral:rRNA from 1 species